AGGCGGUUCAAGUGGAGGAUUUGGCGGAGGCUUCGGAGGUGGUUCCUCAGGUGGAUACAGUGGAGGUUCCAGUGGAAGCUUCGGAGGCGGUUCUAAUGGAGGCUUCGGAGGGGGUUCCUCUGGUCGAUACAGCGGUGGUUCCAGUGGAGGUUUCGGAGGCGGUUCCAGUGGAGGCUUCGGAGGUGGACACGGAGGCGGUUCCAGUGGAGGAUUUGGCGGAGGCUUCGGAGGUGGAUCUGGAGGUGGAUACAGUGGCGGUUCCAGUGGAGGCUUCGGAGGUGGACACGGAGGCGGUUCCAGUGGAGGCUUCGG